UGUCUCCGGAGGAGACGGCGGCGAGGAGGCGGAGGCAGAAGCGGCUGGAGCGGUGGCGGCCGAUGGAUUGAACCUUCAUACAGGAACUAACAACCUGAAACCACAAAAGAAUGUGUGUUGAAGAUUAUGGAAGAAAAAGAGAAGCUAUUAACUGCAUUGAAAGAUUACUGCAACAUCGAUAUGGCUUUUGUGGCUGAAUUAC
rnacentral:lncRNA from 1 species